rnacentral:sRNA from 1 species
GAUAUUGAGUUCUACUAAUAACACCUUGACUUAUAAGUAAACAGAGAUAAAUUGAUGUCAGACCUUAGCAGCUCGUUUUCUA